rnacentral:rRNA from 1 species
UACAGGGGGUGCAAACGUUGCUCGGAAUCAUUGGGCGUAAAGCGCACGUAGGCGGUUUGUUAUGUCGGAUGUGAAAGCCCUUGGCUCAACUGAGGAAGUGCAUUCGAAACUGGCAAGCUAGAGUACUAAAGAGGGUCGCGGAAUUCCCGGUGUAGAGGUGAAAUUCGUAGAUAUCGGGAGGAACACCGGUGGCGAAGGCGACUUCCUGGCCCAUUCUUGACGCUGAGGCGCGAAAGCUAGGGGAGCGAACGGG